rnacentral:lncRNA from 1 species
GUAGAUAUGUAUAGGGGACAGGGAUACUGGAGUGAUGGAGGUAGAUAUGUAUAGGGGUAAGGAGACAGGGAUACUGGAGUGAUGGAGGUAGAUAUGUAUAGGGGUAAGGGGACAGGGAUACUGGAGUGAUGGAGGUAGAUAUGUAUAGGGGGAAGGAGACAGGGAUACUGGAGUGAUGGAGGUAGAUAUGUAUAGGGGACAGGGAUACUGGAGUGAUGGAGGUAGAUAUGUAUAGGGGGAAGGAGACAGGGAUACUGGAGUGAUGGAGGUAGAUAUGUAUAGGGGGAAGGAGACAGGGAUACUGGAGUGAUGGAGGUAGAUAUGUAUAGGGGGAAG